UACGUAGGGGGCUAGCGUUGUCCGGAAUCAUUGGGCGUAAAGCGCGUGUAGGCGGUCCGGUAAGUCCGCUGUGAAAGUCGGGGGCUCAACCCUCGGAUGCCGGUGGAUACUGUCGGGCUUGAGUACGGAAGAGGCGAGUGGAAUUCCUGGUGUAGCGGUGAAAUGCGCAGAUAUCAGGAGGAGCACCAAUUGCGAAGGCAGCUCGCUGGGACGUUACUGACGCUGAGACGCGAAAGCGUGGGGAGCAAACAGG
rnacentral:rRNA from 1 species